rnacentral:misc_RNA from 1 species
CGCGCGUGUGCGCUCUCCUUUGGUUGUCUGUCUCGCCACCUGUCUUCCAUCCUCGCCGCGUGUAUCCCUUCCCGCACUCGGCCUUCGCUGUGCGUGCUCUUCUAGAAGAUGAGUCGAGCAGAUAAGCAGCAGCACCAGGAGCACGUGGUCGGCACCUCCCGUGACACGAGCGUCCGUCUGUUCGCCUUCGCCAACACCCGCCCCGGCUACCAGAUUGUGUUUGCCCCAGAAGAGCCGCUCAUUAUUCUCAAGUCGAAGAAUUCAGCGACUCCGCAGCACCCGUGCCUUCAGUGGGAGCCACUGAGCACGCUGGUAUUCCAGGCUCGCCCCAACACCACGCACGCCGUCUACGUAGUCGACACCACCAGUCUUAGCAGUGCCGCCACGUAUGAUCAGGAGGAACACGUCAACGGCGCCGCUGUUGGGCCGCUGCUGAAGCGGCUCAGCAACGCCAUCACGCGACUGAACCCACACAACGCCACCAUGGUGGCGGCCGGGGUGUCGGGACACCUCGCGAUGAAGUACGUGCUUGUGGGCGAGAAGACGCUGGGCCACCGUGAUCGACUCGUGCAGCGACUCGUGCUCUUGUGCCCCACCUCACUGAGCGCCCUCACCGCCAUGACGAACGCCGUGAUCAAACGCCCCGCCGUCGACGGUUAUCAGCUUCCAGAGGUAAUCGUGCUGCUAAAGGAGCAGACAGAGGUUCCUGGGUGGUCUGCAUGGCUGACGGCGCUGAAGGACGUGCAUCACCGCAUCUCAUCCUUUCGCGUCACCACAGACUUGGGGCCGUCCCUUUUCGCGGCCAUCGCGCGCGAGGCGGGGCUUGCGGCGGCGGACGGCACGGCGGUCGAUGUGCAGCAGCGCUACGCGGCACCGCGCGUGUAUCGACUGGACUUCGUGCUGAGCAAGCAGACAAAGAGCGUGGAGCAGCUGCCACGGCUGAGCCCGCUCGACACACUCGGCUACGACGACGCCGCCGAGGACGAUGAGGAUGAGGGGCACGGCCGCCACCACGCGCACCACCACGGCCACAGCCACGGGGACGGUGCGCGCCAUCACCACCACCGUCACGACCACGACGCGGAUGAGGCCGACUACGAAGACGCCGGCAGCAGCGACGAGGAAAGUGAAUUCGAGGAGGGCGCGGAUGACGCCGAUGCUGGUCAUUCCGCAGGUGCCGUCGAGUCCUCCUGUGGAUGCGGCAGCGAAGGCUGCGGCGGUGGCCACGAGCACGGCGCAAAGGCGGCAGUGAGCGACAGCGCUGGCAGUAUGCUGGUGAGCGGUCUUCACGGCCUCGCCAACUGGUGUGAUCCGGUGCGCGUCAUCGUGGAGGGCCGUGUGCUAGACCUAGGGACCGGCUUGGUCGGCACGACGGACGGUUGCGUGGAGGUGACGAACUUGCCGGCGAUGGUCGCAGCGGACUCAACACUCGCCGCGUGGCACGCGCGAGCCGCAUCAACUGACCGGCAAGCGAAGCAGCGGAGGCCACCUGCAGUAGCGGUCGCCGGUGUGCUGAGUCGUGACAAGGAGGGCCGCACAACGCUGCGCGCCGAGGAGGCGCGGCCGCUCACCAAGGCGGAGGUGCUGCACUCCAUGACGGCUGGCAGCUCCAUCGAGGAGAUUCCGGUUCACUAUAACACUUCUCGCAUUGCACACGGUUACGGUGUGCUGCUGAUUCGCGGCCGAAAAUGUGUGCUGGUGCGCAACGUGGGAGAUGCGAUGGCCGCACGCAUGCGUAUUCCUUUUGCGCCUCACAGCCGCACCGAGGAGUCGUGCGUGGACUGCGCCGUGCGUGCCCUCUGCGACGCCUGCGAGGUGAGCAGCGAUAACUUUUUCUUGCCCAGCUAUCUGCCGCCGGUCGUCUACUACCCCACAGCGGCCACGGCCAACGCGGACCACGUCGGACCACGGUGUGUGACCAUCUACACUGCCUUGGCGAUCAGCCCCUCUCCACGCGGCGCCGCCAGCGAUGCCAUCGAGGACGCGCCAGAGCCCGAGGAGCCGUACGACUGGGUGAGCUUUAGCCGCGCACUGGCGCUGGUGGAGACGGAUGCAGAGCGUGAGGCGCUGCAGGAGGCACAGCGCCAUCUGGAGCGGGCGCACAAGGCUGGGCUGUACACUCCCGUCAGGGGGUGCGGCCUCUUUGGCGAGGAUGUGAAACCACAUAGCGGCGCCGCCGUCGGUGCUGCUCUGUCCAAGGCGACUCUGACUGGCAUUCCAUCCCGAGCCGGACAGCGUCUCAAGACGCUGGCUGGUAUCGAGUUUUACGUGAUUGUAUGCCCUGGUAGUGCGGCGGCUGAGCUGACACCGCUGCUUACUCAGGCGCUGCACGCGAGCUGCUCACUCGUGUGCGGCGAAGAUACGGCCACCUCAUCUAUCGAGGACAUCGCCGCAGAAGCUCAGUGGCGCGGCGAGCGACACGUCUUGCUGUUGCUGGGCGGGAACGAUGACGCUGAGGCUUUCUGCGAAGCACACCUGGUCUAUCUGACAGAGAAGCGGCAGGCGACGGCGCAGGUGUUCACGAUGUUGCUGCCGCAAGCGGCGACGUUGAUCACCGAGCUCGGCAGCGGGGCGCUUGCCUCCGAGGUGGAGGCGCGACUGGACUCUCUUCUCUCCGCCGUGCGCGUCUCGGAUGCUCUCAUCACGAUGGUGCCACCGAAGGAGCUUUCCCGCGGCGAGCAGGCUGUCCUGCAGGUCUGCUGCAAAGCAAACCCUGACCUCAUGCUCUUCUACGGCUGGGAGGCGCGCCAUCCCUUCACCGUGUGCGACCAAACGCCGUCGGAGAGCGGAAGCGCCAUCGACGCCGGCGCCGCGCCGGUCCUAAAGGAGAUGAAGGUUCGCACACCCGCCGGCGUGCCUGUUGCCCCUGCCGCCCUUGCCUUUCUCACCCACACAGGAGCGCUGAACUGCUUCUAUGCGUCGGGGGAGUGUCGCCUGCUGUUUGCGCAAGGCGACGUGUGGAUACCCACCCGCGGCUCGACGCAGGGCUUUGUGCACCUGGACGUUGUGUCGCACUGCCUGGCCGUGGAGCCGGGCAACGAGUGGGCGAGUGAGAGCGACGCAGACCGCACGAGUGAGCUGACGCUGCUUGUGUGGUGCGCCAAUGACGCUGCAGCGGGCACGGCUGCCGUGCAUGCGGCUACGCUCGAGAAGCAGCUGCAGUGGAGUGAGGCGAGGGACGGCUCUGACUGGCUGCUGGCGUAUGAUCCCCUGCCCCAGUGGGACUAGCGCAUGAGAGCAUGCCACAUGGCGCCACCGCCUGCUUGUCCGGUGUAGAUGUGUCUGCAUGUGCAAAGUACGUGGACGCGCGGACGCCUUCUCCCUCCACCUACUCUCGAGUUAUAGCAAAGAGCAGCCCGGGGCAGAGGCUGGCUGGCGCUAUUCACUUUCGACGGCGAGGCAACCGCAACGCCUGCAGCGCGCUCUCUAUGGCAUCUUCUUUCUUCUUCCUUACACCACUCUCGGGUAACGUGACGUUAAUGGCGGGGUUGGUGCUCCCCACCACCCCUGAGGCACUAAAACAGAAAAGGCGGAUAUAAAAAAAAGGAUAUACGUGGCCAAGGGGGCACACGCAGGCGAACAUCGUAUCGCAAGGGUGCGCAUCGACGAAACGCUGAUGUCGCCACUCUCGUGUGUGUAUAUGUGUGUGUAAAACGUUCUGCCAAUCGGAUGGCGGUGCACUGAGGACUCCCUGUCUUCCCCUUCACCAAAGCCACCCGUGCGUCUGCGGAAGGAGGAGGGGAUAGUGUGUGUGUAUGUGGACGAUACUCCCCCCCCCCCCCCACACACACACACACACGCACACAAACACACCUCUCACCUCCUGUUCACUGUUCCGCUGUUGGACGUUCAUAUCAGCGAUGGACACCCGCACGUGUCCCUUAUUCUUCUCCCUCGUUGUCUUGUCUACUUUGUUGUUAUCUUACACGUCGGGCUUGACGAGCUGAUGACUGGCUGUCGAGGUGAGGAAUAG